rnacentral:rRNA from 1 species
UCGAGAGUUUGAUCCUGGCUCAGGAUGAACGCUAGCGGCAGGCUUAACACAUGCAAGUCGAGGGGUAUAGUUCUUCGGAACUAGAGACCGGCGCACGGGUGCGUAACGCGUAUGCAAUCUACCUUUUACAGAGGGAUAGCCCAGAGAAAUUUGGAUUAAUACCUCAUAGUAUGUGAGAAUCGCAUGAUUUGAUUAUUAAAGUUCCAACGGUAAAAGAUGAGUAUGCGUCCCAUUAGCUAGAUGGUAAGGUAACGGCUUACCAUGGCAACGAUGGGUAGGGGUCCUGAGAGGGAGAUCCCCCACACUGGUACUGAGACACGGACCAGACUCGUACGGGAGCAGCAGUGAGGAAUAUUGGACAAUGGGGCGCAAGCCUGAUCCCAGCCCAU